UCUUUACAGUGCGGAAGGCAGUCAUGUGUCAGGACAGAGCAACGGCCGGGAUCCUCAGGCCUUGGCUAAGGCUGUGCAAAUCCACCAUGAUACCCAGCACACGAUGUAUUUUGCCUGAGAGUCUCAGAAAAAGAACUCAACCAAUUUGGCACCCCAUGCAGCCUCAAAAUGUUUCAAAUGCCUACCGCCUCUAGAUCGAGCCAAGUUGACUUCAGUUGAUGUCCUGUCACUUUGUUUUAAAAUAAGCUAGAACCAGGAUGCUUCCUUAUUGGAAAGGCUUUGCCAGUCCUUAAGGUA
rnacentral:sRNA from 1 species